GACGAACGCUGGCGGCGCGCCUAACACAUGCAAGUCGAACGAGCGAGAGAGAGCUUGCUUUCUCGAGCGAGUGGCGAACGGGUGAGUAACGCGUGAGGAACCUGCCUCAAAGAGGGGGACAACAGUUGGAAACGACUGCUAAUACCGCAUAAGCCCACGGCUCGGCAUCGAGCAGAGGGAAAAGGAGCAAUCCGCUUUGAGAUGGCCUCGCGUCCGAUUAGCUAGUUGGUGAGGUAACGGCCCACCAAGGCAACGAUCGGUAGCCGGACUGAGAGGUUGAACGGCCACAUUGGGACUGAGACACGGCCCAGACUCCUACGGGAGGCAGCAGUGGGGAAUAUUGCACAAUGGGGGAAACCCUGAUGCAGCGACGCCGCGUGGAGGAAGAAGGUCUUCGGAUUGUAAACUCCUGUUGUUGGGGAAGAUAAUGACGGUACCCGACAAGGAAGUGACGGCUAACUACGUGCCAGCAGCCGCGGUAAAACGUAGGUCACAAGCGUUGUCCGGAAUUACUGGGUGUAAAGGGAGCGCAGGCGGGAAGACAAGUUGGAAGUGAAAUCUAUGGGCUCAACCCAUAAAUUGCUUUCAAAACUGUUUUUCUUGAGUAGUGCAGAGGUAGGCGGAAUUCCCGGUGUAGCGGUGGAAUGCGUAGAUAUCGGGAGGAACACCAGUGGCGAAGGCGGCCUACUGGGCACCAACUGACGCUGAGGCUCGAAAGUGUGGGUA
rnacentral:rRNA from 1 species